UGGUCAAGUUAUUAAGGGUGCAGGGCGGAUGCCUUGGCACUAGGAGCCGAUGAAGGACGUGAUAAGCUGCGAUAAGCUUCGGGGAGUUGCACGUAAACUUUGAUCCGAAGAUUUCCGAAUGAGGAAACUCACUUAGAGUAAUGUCUAAGUAUCAUUAAGUGAAUACAUAGCUUAAUGAGGGGAACUCAGGGAACUGAAACAUCUAAGUACCUGAAGGAAGAGAAAGAAAUUCGAUUCCGUAAGUAGCGGCGAGCGAACGCGGAUUAGCCCAAACCAAUAAAGUUUUCUUUAUUGGGGUUGCGGACAUAUCAUAACGAAGAGGUAUCGUAAUUGAAGAGGUUUGGAAAGACCCACCACAGAAGGUAAUAGUCCUGUAUGUUAAACGAGAAGACUUUAGAUAUGAUCCAGAGUACCACGGGACACGUGAAACCCUGUGGGAAGCAGGAGGGACCACCCUCCAAGGCUAAAUACUACCUAGUGACCGAUAGCGUAUAGUACCGUGAGGGAAAGGUGAAAAGAACCCCGGGAGGGGAGUGAAAUAGAACCUGAAACCCUGCACUUACAAGCUGUGGAAGCACAUUUCUUGUGUGACCGCGUACUUUUUGUAGAACGGGCCAACGAGUUACGUUAAGUAGCAAGGUUAAGCACUUAAGGUGUGGAGCCGUAGCGAAAGCGAGUUUUAACUGAGCGUUCAGUUACUUGACGUAGACCCGAAACCGGGCGACCUACCCAUGAGCAGGAUGAAGCGAAAGUAAAAUUUCGUGGAGGUCCGAACCCACGAGCGUUGAAAAGCUCGGGGAUGACUUGUGGGUAGCGGUGAAAUUCCAAUCGAGCCCGGAGAUAGCUGGUUCUCCCCGAAAUAGCUUUAGGGCUAGCCUCAAGGUGAGAGAUACGGAGGUAGAGCACUGAAUGUCCUAGGGGGUAUUGCACCUACCGAAGACUAUCAAACUCCGAAUGCCGUCAUCUUAUACUUGGGAGUCAGACUGUGGGUGAUAAGAUUCAUAGUCGAAAGGGCAACAGCCCAGAUCGUCAGCUAAGGUCCCUAAAUGUAAGUUAAGUGGUAAAGGAUGUGGGAUUGCACAGACAACCAGGAUGUUGGCUUAGAAGCAGCCACUCAUUCAAAGAGUGCGUAAUAGCUCACUGGUCGAGUGAUCCUGCGCCGAAGAUUUCCGGGGCUAAAACUUACUACCGAAGCUACGGCAUCAGUAAUGAUGGGUAGGGGAGCUUCCCAUACGGGUUGAAGCAUGAUCGUAAGGACAUGUGGACAGUAUGGGAGUGAGAAUGUUGGCAUGAGUAGCGAGAUGUGGGUGAGAAUCCCACAGGCCGUAAACCCAAGGUUUCCAGGGGAAGGUUCGUCCGCCCUGGGUUAGUCGGGACCUAAGCUGAGGCCGAAAGGCGUAGGUGAUGGACAACAGGUUGAUAUUCCUGUACUACCGAUAACCGUUUGAGAGAAGGGAUGACACAGUAGGAUAAGCUAAGCACACUGUUGGUUAUGUGUGCCCAAGCAUUGAGGCAGUCAAAGUAGGUAAAUCCGCUUUGAUAAUGCUGGGAUGUGAUGGGGAGCGAAAUUUAGUAGCGAAGUAGCUGAUUUCACACUGUCAAGAAAAGUCUCUAUCGAGGUUAAAGGUACCCGUACCGCAAACCGACACAGGUGGGUGAGGAGAGUAUCCUAAGGCCAGCGAGAGAACUGUUGUUAAGGAACUCGGCAAAAUGACCCCGUAACUUAGGGAUAAGGGGUGCCACCAUCAGGUGGCCGCAGAGAAUAGGCCCAAGCGACUGUUUACCAAAAACAUAGGUUUCUGCUAAGUCGCAAGACGAUGUAUAGGAGCUGACGCCUGCCCGGUGCUGGAAGGUUAAGGGGAUCUGUUAGAGCAAUCGAAGCAGUGAACUUAAGCCCCAGUAAACGGCGGCCGUAACUAUAACGGUCCUAAGGUAGCGAAAUUCCUUGUCGGGUAAGUUCCGACCCGCACGAAAGGCGUAACGAUUUGGGCACUGUCUCAACAACAGACUCGGUGAAAUUGUAAUUCCGGUGAAGAUGCCGGAUACCUGCGACAGGACGGAAAGACCCCAUGGAGCUUUACUGUAGCUUGACAUUGGGUCUUGGUACUACAUGUACAGGAUAGGUGGGAGGCUUUGAAACCAGGACGCCAGUUUUGGCGGAGCCAUCCUUGGGAUACCACCCUUGUAGUACUGGGACUCUAACCAUAGGCCAUGAAUCUGGUCUUGGGACACUGUCAGGUGGGCAGUUUGACUGGGGCGGUCGCCUCCCAAAAGGUAACGGAGGCGCUCAAAGGUUCUCUCAGUACGGUCGGAAAUCGUACGUAGAGUGUAAAGGCAAAAGAGAGCUUGAUUGCAAGACAUACAGGUCGAGCAAGGAUGAAAAUCGGACUUAGUGAUCCGGUGGUUCUGCGUGGAAGGGCCAUCGCUCAACGGAUAAAAGCUACCCUGGGGAUAACAGGCUUAUCUCCCCCAAGAGUCCACAUCGACGGGGAGGUUUGGCACCUCGAUGUCGGCUCAUCACAUCCUGGGGCUGUAGUAGGUCCCAAGGGUUGGGCUGUUCGCCCAUUAAAGUGGUACGCGAGCUGGGUUCAGAACGUCGUGAGACAGUUCGGUCCCUAUCCGUCGCAGGCGUAGGAAAUUUGAGAAGACCUGUCCUUAGUACGAGAGGACCGGGAUGGACGUACCUCUGGUGUACCAGUUGUCCUGCCAAGGGCAUGGCUGGGUAGCUAUGUACGGAAUGGAUAAGCGCUGAAAGCAUCUAAGCGCGAAGCCAACUUCAAGAUAAGAUUUCCCACCGCAAGGGUAAGACCCCAGAAAGACUAUCUGGUUGAUAGGUCGAAGGUGUAAGUGCAGCAAUGUAUUUAGCUUAUCGAUACUAAUAGGUCGAGGACUUGACCAAU
rnacentral:rRNA from 1 species